UAGUUAACAAAUAGUGUUCUAUUAGUUCCAGGUGUGCAAUGUGGUGAUUCAACACUUCCGUACAUUACGCGGUGUUCAUCAUGACAAGUACACUCCCUAGGUGAGGGGGUGGGUCAAAUAGGUGAUGGGGAUUAAGGAAAGCAAUUACUUUUAGAGGGAUGCGAUUCUGAUUAUUUAAUGUAAAAAAAAAAUCAGUAUGAAAAAUGGAGAACGCUAGAAGAAGGAAGAGGAAAACAUAAUUUUUAAGUCCAAGGCUCCUCCCACCCUUUACUAAAGACUGUAUGUUGCCAAAUGGGGAGUCAUUUAAAAGUUAAUGUGGUAUUUUCCUUCACUUAAGAAGAUGAUGUGACAGGCCUGAUGGUAGUCCAACAUUAGAUUUUGUUUUUUUUUACCAGCAGCCGGAGUGAAUUUUCCCUGGCGCCCCGUGACUAAUGGGCGGAACUAUCCCCUGGGCGUGCAGAUUCCUUCCCUUCCCUCCACUUUGGAAGGCCUUUCCCUUGUAGCAGGUCUUGAGCCUGGGGAUCCACCGGCUUGAGUGACAACCUCCCUAAGCCCCAUUUCCUCCUCUGUAUACGACGGGGGAUACCUGAGAUGAGGAUGUGAGGUACCCAGGGUGCUGCCGGGAACAAGGUAGGAUUUCUUCCCUUUCCUUCCUCCUCUCUCCAUGCCGCUGCUGAGGGUGCUGUGGAAAGGCAGCCCUUUCAGAGUAAGAAGGAGGGGGACACCC
rnacentral:lncRNA from 1 species